GAACGCUAGCGGCAGGCUUAACACAUGCAAGUCGAGGGGCAGCGAGAGAGUAGCAAUACUUUGUCGGCGACCGGCGGACGGGUGCGUAACGCGUAUGCAACCUACCUUAUACAGGGGGAUAACCUUUCGAAAGGGAGACUAAUACCGCAUAACAUUACUUUGAGGCAUCUUGAGGUAAUUAAAUCUUCGGAGGUAUAAGAUGGGCAUGCGUAGCAUUAGCUAGAUGGUGCGGUAACGGCGUACCAUGGCGACGAUGCUUAGGGGUUCUGAGAGGAAGGUCCCCCACACUGGUACUGAGAUACGGACCAGACUCCUACGGGAGGCAGCAGUGAGGAAUAUUGGUCAAUGGUCGGAAGACUGAACCAGCCAUGCCGCGUGCAGGAAGAAUGUCUUAUGGAUUGUAAACUGCUUUUGUAUGGGGCUAAUAAUAACUUUGCGAAGUUAGAUGCAGGUACCAUACGAAUAAGGAUCGGCUAACUCCGUG
rnacentral:rRNA from 1 species